AAAUCGGCUGUUACUCCAGAUCUCUUAAAUGGAAGGCUUCUAGCACCAAAUCUGGCACAUAGGAGAAACGCAUGGUUUCCAGCCGAUGGGUUGUUUGAAGAAGAGGAAAGCAGGGUAGUGGAAGACAGGCCAAGCCAGCUGUGCAGAACCCCAGCUCCAGGCCCAUGCAGUUGGAAGGGGAGGAGGUGGGAGAACACCCUGCCCGGCCACAGGAAGCAUGAGGGACAACCCGGGAAACUGGAGGGCCCUGUGCCCUUCUCCCAGGAACUGCACGCUCCUGCAAUCCGGAAUGUGAUCACUUCUCAGAGAUGCCAUCAACUGGGGCCGAGGCCUGGCGCUCAGAGAUGGGUCUGCUGCUCGUCCCCAGGAGAAGCUUCAAUUACAAAGUGUUUCCCUGCCCGGCUCAAACUCACACCCCAGCCUGGGGGUCCCUGCUUUGUGGAAUGUUUUAUUGGACGAAUGGAUGAGUGAAUGAACUUCAUGAGAGAAUGGUGGGAUGGUUGAAUAAAUGAAUGAAAAGGUAAAUGAAUGAGUGGAGAUCCAAUGACUGUUACCAUAGUCAAUUUACCUGUGAGGCAAACAGGUUCUAUCCCAUUCCACAGCCUAGAUCCAGACACAUUACAGCUACAACUUCUGCCUCUUUGAUGGGCCAUGGGGCCAUCUUACUCUGUGUGGAAAAGCAAGUCUCCUGGACAUUUUAUCCUACUUUUCUCUCUUCCCAUCCAAGGCUUUAUCAUUAAGAUUAUUUA